CCGACCUCCGGCUAGUGGGAAAGGCCGCGCGACCGCCCGUCCUCCAACUACAGGGACCGCACGAACAGCGACUGGGAAACUGCCACUAGAAAAAGAUGACUGUCCAACUAAAACCUGCAUACACAGCUACAUCCUUCCCUGGAAGAGCACAGUGGAACUAGAUCCUAGUACAGAUAGCACAGGGAUUGUCAACAUUCUUGUCACACUGAAAUUUCCUUCUACUGAUCUCCAAAAACAGAUGCCCUGCCCAGAAGCAACACGGCUAAUGGGUGCCACCGUGGAGACCCAGGCAACCUGAGAGUAGUCCUGACAGCCAGACCUCCAGGGUGGAAAUGGGAAGGUCUACAGAGAAAGGUCAGGAUUUAACAGGGAAAUGGAGGAGGGCAAGAAUGGGGGUCAGGAGGUAUCUACGCAUUUUGAUAUGAAAUUAAGAAGUUCAUUUAAAAUAUACAACCAAGGCCCGUGACACUUUUUGUAACAAGAUUCUAGCUUAUCUUCCCACUAGAUUUUGUUGGACUUUUUUCAAAUUGUAUCUGAUUGUGUUUUUCAAACUAGGCCAGGAGGGCCCCUCAACUUCUAAAAUACAAAAAUUCUUUCUGCUCCUCUUUUCAAAUCUUCUCAGAUUCUGGACACACCCAGAAAUUCCAUGUGCCUUUUUACUCCCUUAAUCCUGUUAACUUUUUGUCUCUUCUUAGCAAUGACUUCCUUUCAUUUUAGAGAAAGUUCUGCUGGUAACAUAC
rnacentral:lncRNA from 1 species